CUCUGUGACUCCUACGGGAGGCAGCAGUGGGGAAUAUUGCACAAUGGGCGCAAGCCUGAUGCAGCCAUGCCGCGUGUGUGAAGAAGGCCUUCGGGUUGUAAAGCACUUUCAGUUGUGAGGAAGGUGGUGUCGUUAAUAGCGGCAUCAUUUGACGUUAGCAACAGAAGAAGCACCGGCUAACUCCGUGCCAGCAGCCGCGGUAAUACGGAGGGUGCGAGCGUUAAUCGGAAUUACUGGGCGUAAAGCGCAUGCAGGUGGUUUGUUAAGUCAGAUGUGAAAGCCCGGGGCUCAACCUCGGAACUGCAUUUGAAACUGGCAGACUAGAGUACUGUAGAGGGGGUAGAAUUUCAGGUGUAGCGGUGAAAUGCGUAGAGAUCUGAAGGAAUACCGGUGGCGAAGGCGGCCCCCUGGACAGAUACUGACACUCAGAUGCGAAAGCGUGGGGAGCAAACAGGUUUAGAUACCCUGGUAG
rnacentral:rRNA from 1 species